rnacentral:RNase_P_RNA from 1 species
UGGGACAGCCAGGCGGCCGCGCGUCACGAAAGUGGCUCGAGGAACGUCCGGGCUCCGCAGGGCAGGGUGGUGGGUAACACCCACUCGGGGCAACCCGCAGGCCAGUGCCACAGAAAAUAGACCGCCUGUACUCCUUGCGUCAGCGCAAGGAAUUGCAGGUAAGGGUGAAACGGCGGUGUAAGAGACCACCAGCUCCCCGGGUGACCGGGGAGGCUAGGUAAACCCCACCCGGAGCAAGGCCAGACAGGGCACGUUUGAGGGCUGCCCGCCCGAGUGCCCGGGUAGGCCGCUGGAGGGCGCCGGUAACGGCGCUCGUAGAUGGAUGGCCGUCACUCCCUUGCUGGCAACGGCUCGGGAGAACAGAACCCGGCGUAUCGGCUGUCCCAUCCG